AGCUAGCGGCAGGCUUAUACAUGCAAGUCGAACGGCAGCACGUGUAGCAAUACAUGGUGGCGAGUGGCGCACGGGUGCGUAACACGUAUGUAACCUACCUCUAACAGUGGCAUAACAAUGAGAAAUUAUUGCUAAUUCCGCAUGUGGUUAAUUUGAGGCAUCUUAGAUUAACUAAAGAUUUAUCGGUUAGAGCUGGGCAUGCGUCCCAUUAGCUAGUUGGUGAGGUAACGGCUCACCAAGGCAUCGAUGGGUAGGGGCUCUGAGAGGAUUGUCCCCCACACUGGUACUGAGACACGGACCAGACUCCUACGGGAGGCAGCAGUAAGGAAUAUUGGGCAAUGGACGCAAGUCUGACCCAGCCAUGCCGCGUGAAGGAAGACGGCCCUAUGGGUUGUAAACUUCUUUUCUCAGGGGGUAAACUUCGGAACGUGUUCCGGACUGAAAGUACCUGAGGAAUAAGCAUCGGCUAACUCCGUGCCAGCAGCCGCGGUAAUACGGAGGAUGCGAGCGUUAUCCGGAUUCAUUGGGCUUAAAGGGUGCGCAGGCGGAUAUAUAAGUCGGAGGUGAAAUUCUGAUGCUCAACAUCAGCCGUGCCUUCGAUACUGUAUAUCUAGAGUCAAGUUGGAGUAGGCGGAAUGUGUUGUGUAGCGGUGAAAUGCUUAGAUAUAACACAGAACACCGAUCGCGAAGGCAGCUUACUAAACUUUGACUGACGCUCAUGCACGAAAGCGUGGGGAUCAAACAGGAUUAGAUACCCCUGGUAGUCCACGCUGUAAACGAUGAUUACUCGCUGUUGGCGAUACACAGUCAGUGGCUAAGCGAAAGUGAUAAGUAAUCCACCUGGGGAGUACGACGGGCAACGUUGAAACUCAAAUGAAUUGACGGAAGGGCGAAUU
rnacentral:rRNA from 1 species